GAAAGCGGAGCAUGGCGGUCGCCACUGGCCAAAUCGGGAUGAGGUCGAAAGUCAAAGACUCGAAAACCACCUUCGAUUUCAGCUAAGUGAAUAUUACAGAACUACGUUCUGGAACAGCAGCCAAAAGCGGUCGGAACUGAAAAUAUCGAGAUGUGGCCAUAAAUCAAUGGAUUCCCAACCCUCCACGCAAAAGAGUAUGUCUAAAAAUUAAAAGCAAUCAAAUGGAAUUUCCACAAGUUAAUUGAAGUACAAAAGAGCAGAAACAAACACUUUCAGCAUAAUUCACACAGCCGCAAGAAGAGUUAAAGCAAUGAGCACAAGAUAAACUCGCAUACUAUUCACUGUCUGCACACGAGUUCGCACACACAGAAGGCAGGUGGUAUUCGCAAUGUAGUGGCCAAAUUGAACUAAACAAUCGCUUUGUGGCGCAGAUCCACACGCUCAAGUAGCUCGGAACCGCAAUGAGAAACCUUGA